GCAGUGGUGGUUCAGUGGUAGAACUCUUGCCUUCCGUAUCGGAGACCCAAGUUCAAUUCUCGGCCAAUGAA
rnacentral:tRNA from 1 species